rnacentral:rRNA from 1 species
UACGGAGGAGGCAAGCGUUAUCCGGAAUGAUUGGGCGUAAAGCGUCCGUAGGUGGCCAUUCAAGUCUGCAGUCAAAUCCUGAGGCUCAACCUCAGAUCGGCGGUGGAAACUGAAUAGCUAGAGUGCGGUAGGGGCAGAGGGAAUUCCCGGUGUAGCGGUGAAAUGCGUAGAGAUAGGGAAGAACAUCGGUGGCGAAAGCGUUCUGCUGGGCCGCAACUGAUACUGAGGGAUGAAAGCUAGGGGAGCGAAUGGG